AUACGUAGGUGACAAGCGUUAUCCGGAUUUACUGGGCGUAAAGGGCGUGUAGGCGGUCUUGCAAGUCAGAAGUGAAAUUCCUGAGCUCAACUCGGGCGCUGCUUCUGAAACUGCAGGACUUGAGUGCUGGAGGGGAUAGCGGAAUUCCUAGUGGAGCGGUAAAAUGCGCAGAUAUUAGGAAGAACACCGGUGGCGAAGGCGGAUAUCUAGCAAGUAACUGACGCUGAGGCGCUAAAGCGUGGGGAGCAAACAGGAUUAUAUUCCCUGGUAGUCCACGCCGUAAACGGUGAAUACUAGGUGUAGGGGGUAUCGACUCCCUCUGUGCCGCAGUUAACACAAUAAGUAUUCCGCCUGGGGAGUACGGCCGCAAGGUUGAAACUCAAAUGAAUUGACGGGG
rnacentral:rRNA from 1 species